UCAUCAUUAUGUCUACUACUACUGCUGCUGCUGCUCCUCCAGCACUUUGCAACAUCUCUACUGUGCAUACUGCUACCACCAGUACUAGCAGUAACUACUGACAGUAGUAGUGUUAGUAACAGUAGCUGUACUCACUGGUAGUACUCAAACUGCUACUGUUACUAGAUUGGAAAGGCUCCACCCGCUGCACACCUGAGCUGGAUUAACAGACGGAAACUGAUGAACAUCAACAACAGCAGCUGGAGGCAAAAAGAAAAUAUUAAAGGAUGGAUACACAGAAUAAUUAAUUAGUAAAAAUCUCUGGCAAUGACCUGACAUUUGCAUUAAAAUACUGUACCUGUAGUAAUGUCUGCAGGCGUCUCCAAUCAUCUGCAGAAAUAAAUCCAGUCUUCACUUUG